CUCUGCUGCUCGAGGAGCUCUCCGCUUUACGCAAGGAGUGCUAUUCUGAUUCAGAUAAACUGAAUUCAUUUGGUUCCCUGCUGAGCAGGCAGUAAAUUGCUUCUCUGGAGAAGUGACCGUGUCCUGGUUUAUGUGUCAUGCAUUUAUAUUCGUUAUUCAGUCAGUUCAGAGUCUGUCUUGGAAGAAGAUUUUAGGAGUAACUCAUGAGAAGAGAAACGCAAGUGGAAAUGAAGUGUUUCAUUCCAAGGUAUUUCUUCAUAACACAGGGUAUGUCCCAUGGUUUGCUGCAUAUCCCACCAGCCCAGUUCUAGGGAAGAACGGGAAGCUGUGUUCAGGAAAUCCAGCUGUAGGAUUCUGCUGUUUUCAGUAGCCCAUGGCCCGCAGCACGAUGAAAAAUGGCACAAUAAACUGCAGUGUGCUGUCCCGGAGGGAUUAACAAGGUUUAACAUCGUCCCAGCAAAAGGCUUGACGUGGACAAGAGUGAAGGUAAACCCCAUGAUCCUGACCCACACGCUCUGCGCUGGGGGAGGCAGCGAGAGGGAGCACAUCACCACUGUGACACUGGGGAGCACAGGUACCACAAAGCCCCAGCCCAGGCAGCUGCUGCAGGAGCCGGGAAGGGAAAUGGACCCUCUGGAAAAACAAGUGAAGGAGGGACAACCCAGAAGAAAUCCCACAGUGCGAUUCACCCCAUGGGAACCGCGGCCGAGUGCCCAAGCCUGGGGCUGCUGGGGAAGGCCAAGGUGAAGCUCCCGUCUGCACCGUUCCCUGGAUGUGCAGCAAUGAAGCUCCCCAGGGCACAGGAUGGUGAAGGAACUGCCCAGCCCUUGGAAGCACGAGGCAGGAAGGAAACCCAGAGCUCCCAACAGGUGCCUGCACCCCUCCCAAACCUUGUGUUGAGUUUACACAGCUAUGAAGAAAGUCCCUGGAUAUUGAAAUUCCACAGACUCUCCAGGCCUUGUACAUCCAUCAUCUGUUUCGAAGCGGACCCUGUGGAGAGCUGAGGGAGCUGAACUACAGACACGUAAGAAAAUGAGGUGCUCAGAGGAGCGACCUGUUCGUACCGAAGCAUUACAGCAUUUUAAGGCAAAGGUGAUGGAUUUUGAUACUGGUACCUGGCUGCUUUAUAAAGGUGAUUUAACAGAUUCCAAUUCUAUCGGAUAUAAAUACCAGUAUUGGGAUUAUGUGAUGAGCUGCAGUUUCACUUCUGCAUCUCAUGCUUAAAAUGUGUGUAUUUGGGGUUCUACUUAAGUACUUAAUGUCUUCAAAUACUUCAUUGGAAGACCUGCAGACAGCAGCUGAGGGAACCCCUGCAGGCUCAGGCAUCACUGUCCUCUCACUGGGAAUCCAGAGGAAAGCUCUGGGUCGGCAUCCGUCAGCCCCAGAGAGCUCAGGAUGGGAGCUGCUGCAGGCAGAUGGAGGGAUGGGGAUGGGGAACAGGGGGAGCGAGGGGGGUUGGAAGUGGCUUGGAGCCAUUUCAUUCCCCUUCACCCAGACCAUGCUGUCACACAUUGUGUAUGGGCAUCUAGGAGUUCCCUUCCAUUCUCCCAUAGUUACUUUCUUAACCAUGCUUUUUUGGAUUAAAAAGCUAUCUGCACAGGACGUGUAAAUAAGGGAUUGUGCUUGUGUAUAUGUUCAUAUUUAUAUGUAAAAAAUUGUGUACAUAGGAAAGAAAAGAAGAGGCUCAAAGAAUGUUUCCAAAACUGUUCCUUACAAAGGCAGAGACAGGAAAUGUGCAUAAACGUGCUCCUUAAUUUCAGCAUAGGGGUUUUGCUCUGUUUUCAGUCACUCUGCAUUUGCUCCCACUGGGCUUUUGUAGGAUGAGUCUGUACAAUGAGACUGUGACCGUGGCUGGAGCUGCUCUGCAGACGGGGCCACCCUUGGCCCCUGGGAUGAGCUGUGGCUGUGUCACAUUUCAUUUGUGUUUUCUUGCACUGGGUCUUGUGCGUCUUUCACAGACCGAGGUCCCAGAGCCACAGCACCAGAGGUGGAUGCUUACCUGAUGUGGGGCUCUUUCCUGCAGCCCCCCAUCCCUCGGUGCAGGUAAACAGCGGGGAGAGGAGGGGUGUGCAGCCACUCUCAGGCCAUCAAGGAGGCAGCAGCAAGUCCAGAGCUACCAACUGCUCCAGUUGUCCCCAUAAGCAUCUUUGCAAGCUCUCCAGUGCCCUUCAGAGCAACAAGACAGAGGACAGGUAAAGCAAGCGCAUCCUGGGGCAUCACUGGCACAGCACCACUGCUCCACUUCCCCUCAGGACUGUGAGGAAGGAGCGUGUCCGUGACCAGCCCAGGCCCACAGAGCUGCUGGAGGAGCAGGGAUGCAGGAGGGCAUGUGCUGCCCGGUCCCGCAGGCAAGCUAUGGACCGACACCCACUGGGACCACAGCACGUGGUUCAGGCCUGUUCCUACUCAAGCUGUCGGAGGACUGUGGCAUCACUUCAAGCCCCCUGCUCCAGUGCUAUCUGUAGCCUUCAGUGUAUCCCCGAGUGCCUUACACAGCUUGUGAACACAGCUCCUGACCUGAAGGGGAAAUGCACCGGGGGGCCCGGUGCUGGCUCCCACCACAUCCCCAGUGCUGCUGCUGUGGGGACCGGUUCGGUUUAGCCUCAGGAAACCGCGUUGUGAGUAAGUGUUGAACCCUGCAUCUCUGAUCGUUCUUUAGAGACAGGAACUGUCCUAAACUUAUGCAAAUUGUAAACCAGAGAAAACAUCCCCCCCCCCUGCCCCCCGCCAGGCCGGCUGCCGGGCUCCUGCUCCCCAACAGACCCAACAGCCGUGUUAACACCCACUGACGGUUGGACCCCAUGAUCUUAAAGGUCUUUUCCAACCCGGUUGAUUCUGUACCCCAAGUACGUGGUGUGUGCUCAGUGCUGAGGCAGCUGACAGGGCUGGAGCGAUCGAUUACAGAAUUUUACACAUAUUUUUGUAUCGUGAUUCAUAUGAUAUAUAUCGAGAGACUUUCUAUUCAUUUGUAAAAUACAUAAAUUAUUGUAAACUUUUAAUAAAAAGAGCUGUUUUAAACCUUCA